ACAAAACCCAAGCAGGACCAGCGAACCUCAGACCGCCCUUCACAUCCCCGCUGCGAGGCCCGCGGGCUGUGGAAUCUCGCACGUCACCUGGCCCCAGCAGGGCAGCCAGCUGAGGGCUUGCUUUUCUUUUCUUUUUUGAAGUAAAGGAUGCAUCUCGGCUGCAGGGCUUUUGCCAGCGUCUACACUGACAGGAACCGGCCAACUUCAGGACCCAAAUGAGCAUCUUAAUUUAUUGAUGCAAAACAGGAGAAUAGAGAAAACUAUCAGGAUGAAUUCUGAACAGCUUCACUUGGAGGUCCAAGAGCAAGGAGCAAUUCACAUGUUAAAAGCAGGAGUCAUGGAAUCUUCACCUCUCACUUCUGGCCCGUACUCCAGCUGGCUGAAUGGCACCACUCUCCCCAAAUCAGUAUUCUAAGCCUGAAUUUUUGGUUUGCCUUGACUAUCCUCUUUUCCUUAACCUCCACCUCACUAAUGAUCUUAUUUCUGCCUUUUCUUCAAAUAAUUGUGGUCCUCCGCACUUACACCCCUACUUCAUUUCAGGUACUUCUCAUCUCUCUCUGAAGGCUGUUCCCACCCCCAACAGGCUUUCCUGUUUGCAGUCAUCCUGCAUAUCUGUUCUUCUCAUCAUCACUAGAGUGCAUGAGUGACAUAAGACUUACCUCUGACCAUGUCACUGCUCAGCCUAAAACCACUGAAAGCUUCACACAUGAGAUAAAUGCACGCAAAGAUUCCUCAGAAGUAGCUCUUUGGAUCUUCAGAUGUGAAAUGGAUCAUUCCUCAAUCUGUAAUAGAAGCUUCUGUGAAGCUUUGCAAUCAAACCUGAGAAGUCAAGGUGAAAUUGAAGGAAGGAUGGAAAACCUCUAUGUGUUGCAUUUUGUAGCAUCCUAAACAGAAGGAUAUUGCAGGGAGCUGAUUCUGCUUUGAUCCUUGUGCUUGUUGUCAAAGCGCUUGGGAUUGAAGAGACUGUUGGCUACAAUUGACUGUGACAAUUAGGAGAUGAUCAGAGCCCUAGAGUGGAGCACUUAAAGGUUUUGCAUUUAAAACACUCUUGGAGCACUAACUCUUUUUAAGGAGGUAAUGAGUGAAUAAAUGAAAAGGCAGAGAUUAUUCACCAUUCUAAAAGGAGAUUGUCAGACCAUUUCUACUUGACUAAAAUUGUUUUUGAAGAUCUAGUCCCAGAGCCUUCUCCAGAGCUGCAGAAGCCUACUCAAUCCUUCCUCAGCAGCGAAGAAUGCCCCCAAAACAGCCCUCAACCAGUGGGAG
ensembl:lncRNA